rnacentral:lncRNA from 1 species
CACCAAUAUAAAGUUGUUUUAAUGAUAAAAUAACAUUAAAAUGAUAAGUAUAUUACACAAAUGAGAAUACAACUCAGCUGAGGUCAGGAGUUCCAGGCCAGCCUGGCCAACAUGGUGAAACCCCGUUUCUACUAAAAGUACAAAAAAUUACCCAGGAAUGGUGACGUGCACCUGCAGUCCCAGCUACUUGGGAGGCUGAGUCAUGAUAAUUGCUUGAA